AGGGGCUCCGCACUGGCCCCCACCGAGGCAGGGGGCCCGACCGGCGCUGAGCUCGGCUGGAUGUUACAGGCGUGCAAG
rfam:Fukomys damarensis contig154012, whole genome shotgun sequence.